rnacentral:rRNA from 1 species
GUAUUAGUUAUGUGCUUGAAACCCAAAGGAUUUGGCGGUAUUUUAGUCUUUCCAGAGGAACCUGCCCCUUAAUUCGACAUCCCACGAUUUUAUUUACUUUUAUUUGUUUUCAGUUUAUAUACCUCCGUCAUAAGAGAGUCUUUUUAGAGAAAAUUUUCUUUUCCUUUAAAUGAGAAUAUGUCAGGUCAAGGUGUAAUUUAUAUAGAAGUGGAGGUGGGUUACAAUUUAUUUUAUGAGUGGAGUAAUAUUUUAUUUAUAUUAGGAAAAUGGAUUUGGUAGUAAGGCUACCUAUUUUGUUGGUUUGAUUUUAGCUCUAAAAUAUGCACACAUCGCCCG